AGUGAACGCUGGCGGUAGGCCUAACACAUGCAAGUCGAGCGGCAGCGCAGUGGAAACCUUGGCGUAGAGCGGCGGAGUGGUGAAGAAUUCGUGGAAAUAUGCCUAUUUGCUGGGGCGAGAGUAGGGACACUUACGCUAAUACCGUAUAAGUCCUAAGGGCGUCAUUGGGGAACCGCAAGGCCUUCCGCAGAAGCACGAGUCGAUGAGCCAUUAGCUAGUUGGUGGGGUAAAGGCCCACCAAGGCGACGAUCGGUAGCUGGUCUGAGAGGAUGAUCAGCCACACUGGGACUGAGACACGGUCCAGACUCCUACGGGAGGCAGCAGUGGGGAAUAUUGGACAAUGGGCGCAAGCCUGAUCCAGCCAUACCGCGUGUGUGAAGAAGGCCUUCGGGUUGUAAAGCACUUUUGUCGGGAAAGAAAAGCCGCAGGUUAAUACCUUGCGGUUAUGACGGUACCGAAAGAAUAAGCACCGGCUAACUUCGUG
rnacentral:rRNA from 1 species